rnacentral:lncRNA from 1 species
UGCGCAGGUGCGAAAGCCAUCUUUGGUUAUAUAAGGGAGGUUCAGGAAGCCAUUCGUUCUUUCGCGUCUGCGGUGCCCGGAGUGUGGUACUUCUCCUAGUUGCAGUCAGGCUUCAUACGCUAUUGUCCUGCCCGUUAGAGCAGCCAGCGGGUACAGAAUGGAUUUUGGAAGAGGGAGUCACCACUGGACCUCCAAGGAAGCCACGUGCAGACAUCUACAACCUUCGAUCUCCUGACGAGUUUAUUGUUGGCCAAAACCAGGCUUUGAUUGAACCAGGAUGAAUGCGGGUGUUGGAAGUAGAAUAUAUAUAUACAUAUAAAAUUGGUUGGGAGCCACGUGUACCAGUGUGUGUUGAUCUUGGCUUGAUUCAGUCUGCCUUGUAACAGAAACUGGCGAUGGAAUAUGAGAGGAGCCCUCUGGAAAGAAAAGGACAGACCCUGUGCUUUCAUGAAAGUGAAGAUCUGGCUGAACCAGUUCCACAAGGUUACUGUAUACAUAGCCUGAGUUUAAAAGGCUGUGCCCACUUCAAGAAUGUCAUUGUUAGACUUUGAAAUUUCUAACUGCCUACCUGCAUAAAGAAAAUAAAAUCUUUUAAAUCAAAAUG